GAGUUUGAUCCUGGCUCAGGAUGAACGCUAGCGGCAGGCCUAAUACAUGCAAGUCGAACGAUACCAGAGAGCUUGCUUUCUGGGAAAGUGGCGCACGGGUGCGUAACGCGUAUGCAACCUACCUUAAUCAGGGGGAUAGCCUCUCGAAAGAGAGAUUAACACCGCAUAAAAUCACAAGCUGGCAUCAGCAAAUGAUCAAAUAUUUAUAGGAUUAAGAUGGGCAUGCGUGACAUUAGUUUGUUGGUGAGGUAACGGCUCACCAAGACUACGAUGUCUAGGGGAUCUGAGAGGAUGACCCCCCACACUGGUACUGAGACACGGACCAGACUCCUACGGGAGGCAGCAGUAAGGAAUAUUGGUCAAUGGGGGCAACCCUGAACCAGCCAUGCCGCGUGCAGGAAGACGGCCCUACGGGUUGUAAACUGCUUUUAUACGGGAAUAAACCUCUUUACGUGUAAAGAGUUGAAUGUACUGUAAGAAUAAGGAUCGGCUAACUCCGUGCCAGCAGCCGCGGUAAUACGGAGGAUCCAAGCGUUAUCCGGAUUUAUUGGGUUUAAAGGGUGCGUAGGCGGCCUAUUAAGUCAGGGGUGAAAGACGGUGGCUCAACCAUCGCAGUGCCCUUGAUACUGAUGGGCUUGAUUACACUUGAGGUAGGCGGAAUGUGACAAGUAGCGGUGAAAUGCAUAGAUAUGUCACAGAACACCAAUUGCGAAGGCAGCUUACUAAGGUGUUAAUGACGCUGAGGCACGAAAGCGUGGGGAUCAAACAGGAUUAGAUACCCUGGUAGUCCACGCCCUAAACGAUGAAUACUCGAUGUUAG
rnacentral:rRNA from 1 species